UACGUAGGUGACCAGCGUUGUCCGGAUUUACUGGGCGUAAAGAGCGCGCAGGCGGUCGUUCAAGUCGAGUGUGAAAGCCCCCGGCUCAACUGGGGAGGGUCACUCGAUACUGAUCGACUUGAAGGCAGGAGAGGGAAGCGGGAAUUCCCGGUGUAGUGGUGAAAUGCGUAGAUAUCGGGAGGAACACCAGUGGCGAAGGCGGCUUCCUGGCCUGUUCUUGACGC
rnacentral:rRNA from 1 species